rnacentral:rRNA from 1 species
ACGAGUGGCGGACGGGUGAGUAAUGUCUGGGAAACUGCCUGAUGGAGGGGGAUAACUACUGGAAACGGUAGCUAAUACCGCAUAACGUCGCAAGACCAAAGAGGGGGACCUUCGGGCCUCUUGCCAUCGGAUGUGCCCAGAUGGGAUUAGCUAGUAGGUGGGGUAACGGCUCACCUAGGCGACGAUCCCUAGCUGGUCUGAGAGGAUGACCAGCCACACUGGAACUGAGACACGGUCCAGACUCCUACGGGAGGCAUG